rnacentral:rRNA from 1 species
UACAGAGGUCUCAAGCGUUGUUCGGAUUCAUUGGGCGUAAAGGGUGCGUAGGCGGCGCGUUAAGUCUGGUGUGAAAUCUCGGAGCUUAACUCCGAAACUGCAUUCGAUACUGCCGUGCUUGAGGACUGGAGAGGAGACUGGAAUUUACGGUGUAGCGGUGAAAUGCGUAGAUAUCGGAAGGAAGACCAGUGGCGAAGGCGGGUCUCUGGACAGUUCCUGACGCUGAGGCACGAAGGUCAGGGGAGCAAAUGGG